rnacentral:lncRNA from 1 species
GGGUUCAAGUGAUUCUCCUGCCUCAGCCUCCUGAGUAGCUGGGAUUACAGGCGUGCACCACCACGCCCGGCUAAUUUUGUAUUUUUGGUAGAGUCGGUGUUUCUCCAUGUUGGUCAGGCUGGUCUCAAACUCCCGACCUCAGGUGAUCCGCCCACCUCUGCCUCCCAAAGUGCUGGGAUUAUAGGCAUGAGCCACUGUGCCCGGCCAACAACACUGUUCUUCUAGGCAAGGACAAGAGUAAGGGACUAUCUCCAGUGUUGGGAAAUACAACUCAGCAUGAAUAGAAGUGAAGAUAAGACAGCUAAUAAGACAGCUCUGACAAAAGGACGUUUUGUAUCCCUCAAAAGUUUGCAUGCGUUCUUUUUUUUGUUUUUUGUUUGUUUGUUUGUUUGUUUUGAGAUGGAGUUUCGCUCUUGUUGCCCAGGCUGGAUUGCAGUGGUGCGAUCUUGGGUCAUGGGAACAUCCGCCACCUGGAUUCAAGCCAUUCUUCUGCCUCAGCGUCCUGAGUAGCUGGGAUUACAGAUGGAGUUUUGCCACAUUGCCCAGGCUGUUCUAGAACUCCUGCGCUCAAGGAUCCACCUGCCUCAGCCUCCCAAAAUGCUGAGAUUACAGGCAUGAGCCACCUCAUGCAGCCCCA